UCACAAAAAUCCCAUGCCUAUAAAGGGAAAUAUUAUAAGUUUCAGAUUGUAGAGGAGUGGAAAAUUCAAUAGAAAUGUGAACUAUAGAGCUCAAAAUUUGAUUAAAAGAAAGGGUAUGUAGAGCUGGAAAUCUCAGAUACUGAAUUUCACAAUUUUUAUCAGGAAACAUCAGCCUACCACCUUGCAAGUACAAA